rnacentral:rRNA from 1 species
UACGUAGGGGGCAAGCGUUGUCCGGAAUUAUUGGGCGUAAAGCGCGCGCAGGCGGUUUUUUAAGUCUGGUGUAUAAACCUUGGGCUCAACUUAAGGAGGCACUGGAAACUGGGGAACUGGAGUGUAGGAGAGAAAAGUGGAAUUCCACGUGUAGCGGUGAAAUGCGUAGAGAUGUGGAGGAACACCAGUGGCGAAGGCGACUUUCUGGCCUAUAACUGACGCUGAGGCGCGAAAGCGUGGGGAGCGAACAGG